GAAAAGGCCUAAGAAUUAAAAGGCCUGCAUCUUCGGCUUCUGCUCUUUCUGCCUUUAGCUGAAAGAUGGGCCUAGGGAUUUGAAUGAUAGAUGGGACCUGGGAAUCAAGGACAGGGCAUGUAUCUAGUCUUACAUUUAACCAUGUCAGCUAUUUACUAAUUGGCCCGCUUGGCACAAAAGUAUAUGCAGCUGUUUUCUCAUGUAUCCUCAAAGAUAUUUAAUGCCAGGGGUCAAGGCAUGUACCUUACACUCCCUUCAAAAUGAUAAAUGUAUCCGCAACAGAUGUCUCCUGUAUCCCCCUCCCCAAAAUAAUCCAUGUAUUCUGUGUAACCUGUUAUCUAUAGGUCAGUAUAAUGACGUAAACUAAAUUGUUUGUUGCUGAUUAUAAAAGGGGCUCAUGUCGCCCAUGUAAGGUGUGUUCUUCUUCUCUGGCACUAGUCGAGAAGAAACACCCGCUCAGCUGAACGAAAAUAAAGGUGUGGUAUCCGU